GACGAACGCUGGCGGCGUGCUUAACACAUGCAAGUCGAACGGAAAGGCCCUGCUUUUGUGGGGUGCUCGAGUGGCGAACGGGUGAGUAACACGUGAGUAACCUGCCCUUGACUUUGGGAUAACUUCAGGAAACUGGGGCUAAUACCGGAUAGGAGCUCCUGCUGCAUGGUGGGGGUUGGAAAGUUUCGGCGGUUGGGGAUGGACUCGCGGCUUAUCAGCUUGUUGGUGGGGUAGUGGCUUACCAAGGCUUUGACGGGUAGCCGGCCUGAGAGGGUGACCGGCCACAUUGGGACUGAAAUACGGCCCAGACUCCUACGGGAGGCAGCAGUGGGGAAUAUUGCACAAUGGGCGGAAGCCUGAUGCAGCAACGCCGCGUGCGGGAUGACGGCCUUCGGGUUGGAAACCGCUUUCGCCUGUGACGAAGCGUGAGUGACGGUAAUGGGUAAAGAAGCACCGGCUAACUACGUG
rnacentral:rRNA from 1 species